ensembl:lncRNA
CAGAGGGACUGGGAGGACACCCAAAGGGGAGCUGAGUGAGGAGACACAGAGCUGCCAGGAGAACGUCUCCUUUACUGUCCCCUAUCCUUUCGGUAUUUGAUUUGAAGAUAUUUUUACAGAUGAAUUUUUGUAUAAAACCAUACAUUGGUUCUUCAAUCUUUUAGGUUUUCAACUUUCAUCAGGUGAUAAUAAGAUUAAGCAGCAGUUGUCAUCCCAAAAGAUCUUCUGAUUAGAAGCCUUUUGAGUCCAGAAAAUAACCAUUUUGGAUACGUGACUGUCGAGCACAGCCCUGCUCAUUUAUGCAACAAGUGGACAAUAUUUUGAUAACUUACCAUGCUGCACAGAUUUCUGAGACAUCAGGACUCAAGGGCCUAAGACCACUCUCUGUCCCUCAUCCUGUUGUCACGGAGAGGUUCUGCCUCUCUUCCUUGAUGAAGACAGGAGCCUGGCUGGACACAGCUGGCACCCGCAUGUUCCUGGACACAGCUCUUGGAUCUUCCCAAUUCUUGAAGACGCCUGCAAAACUCAUAAGAACAGAAAAUGUAAAGAGAUUUUCUGAAUUACUGAGUCCCAUCCUACGGUGCUAAAAGCAACUCUACAGAAUCCCUUUGAUAAAUGUCUCAAGCUCCAGCAGGCUCUUCCCUUGAAGUCCACGUGGCUUGCAUUUGCCCACCCAAGUCUCCAUGCUGGCAGCUCUGCACCAUGCUCACUUUCCUCAGCUGAGACACUUAAGCACAGCACUUCUUCCUACCGAAUUUCAUCUCGCUCCUAUGACUCAUCCUCAAAGCCAAAGUGUUCUUUCUGUCUGAUGUUUUGAUUCUCCUCAUAUGUGAAGACAAUAAAUAAUAGAUAAAGACAGCUCAUGUUGCAAAAUUAAAUAGGCUGCAGGUUAUGGAUUGCAGCACUUCUGAAAUCAAACACAUGUGACUAUAGAGACUUUGGCAAACAUUCU